rnacentral:snoRNA from 1 species
AUUCCAUGAUGGGAACAUUCUAGGAUGUAGUCUUAAAAGCGCUCCCAUGCUUCUGGAACAGAUUCAUCAUUUUGUUGCUGAAAACUUGUAAUCUUCCCACGGAGAGC